rnacentral:misc_RNA from 1 species
AAGACUAUAGACCUGCGGAGUACCUGCGGAAGGAUCAUUAAUGAAAUCAUAUUCUCCUUUGGAGUUUCUUCUAGCUGAUGCGUCUUUUGGCUGCACGCUGUUGUCACUCUUUAGGGGUUAUAUUUCCACAAACCCUUCUGUGCAUAUUGGGAGGCUUUAUUGUCCUCUCCUAAUUCAUAUACUCUAAUGUUUAAUCAUGUCAUACAAUGUUAAAUACAUUAAACAACUUUUAGCAACGGA